GAUAAAUAAUGACAAACAAACGACGGAAAUUUAAUACAUGAUGAAUCCACAGCGUGUGCAUUUGACUGAUACCCGAAUAAUCCAGUCGUUAUAUUACGAAUACUUCGAUCACUCCAUUAACCAUUUCCUAGAGAAAAGUAGUGAAUAGGGGGCGCUGAAUUAUUCGAGUUAGUACAUGGAGGAAAGGUCUAUUUCAAAUGUUAUUCAAAGAUUAGGAGCAACGAUUCAAUUUCGAUUUGUGUAUUGUAUUUGUCGUGGUUGAAACGGCACCAGGAACAUACAGUCAGGAUAGACAACAGCAGUCUAGUGAGAAAAAUGUUAUGAAACACCAGCAAAAAAGACUAGAUUGUUAUUCAGUCCUGACUUAUUAAGUGUCUCUGAAGAUGAAGAUUAGAUCAGGCCUAUCCAGAAGCAAGAAAAAGGACAAUUCAUAGCACGUACAUCUACAGAAAGAGACAUGUUUAAAAAACAGAUUUGUUUUCAAUUUAAGAAAAACCUGUUAAACUUUUACUAUUUCUUAUCUGUAUAUUUUACAUUUAUAUGAUGAUAUUUUUAAAAUUGCUGCACAGUAUUUCUAUUCAGUCCCACAUAACAAAAUCAGCUGAAGAAAUUGAUUUUUUUCAUAUUUGAAGGGAGUGUCUUUUUGCAUUGUUGACAUGGUUGAUAGCAGAUAUAUGUAUUGUGGAAAACAGUCAGAUGGCAACUUCAAAUAAUAUAAAAUACAUUUUUAUGAAUGUUAUAUGUCAUUAAAUAGACAUGAAAGAUAGAAAAUUAUAUAGGAACACUUUUUUUAUGACCUAAAUGUAUUGUCAAGGUAAAUUUAUUAUGUGAACAUAUCAAAUAUUAUCAAAAACACUGCUGGUUUGAAAUAAAAUUAUUCUAUGUAGCCUAAUGUAAUCAUACAGAUCAGUGUAUUUUUUCCUAAACAAAUUUUACAUAUUUUUAUAACCAGAAUAAAUUUAUUCUGUGUCUCAACCUUAACAUAAUUACUGUACUUUCAAAAUAAAUUUAUUUUAUAUAUAUCAUAAUACUUUUAAUCCACAUUGAAUGUAGAAUAAAUUUAUUCUGUGUCGCCACCUUAAUAUGAUAACUGUACUUUCAGAAUAAGUUUAUUUUAUAUAUUAUUAUACAAGACAAAAAUCACAUUGAACAUAGAAUAAAUUUAUUCUGUGUCUCAACUUCACCUUACAGAUUACUUUACUUUCAAAAUAAAUUUAUUUUAAAUAUUGUUAUAAUCAUAAAUGACAUUUAAUGUAAAAUAAAUUUAUUCUGUGUCUCAACCUCACCGUAUAGAUUACUUUACUUUCAAAAUAAAUUUAUUUUAAAUAUUGUUAUAAUCAUAAAUGACAUUAAAUGUAGAAUAAAUUUAUUCUAUGAUUUUCUCGAACUGAUAAUAGAUAUUAAGGCUCUAUAUAAUAAUUUUAUUUUAUAAAUGAUUAUAUACAGAAAGCACCAUGCAUUUAGAAUAAAUGUAUUCUAAGAUGUAUAAUUUACGGAGAGUUGAAUGAAAAUGGACAGGUAAA